rnacentral:rRNA from 1 species
AGCUGAGUUUGAUCCUGGCUCAGAUUGAACGCUGGCGGCAUGCCUUACACAUGCAAGUCAAACGGCAGCACGGGUGCUUGCACCUGGUGGCGAGUGGCGAACGGGUGAGUAAUACAUCGGAACGUACCUUAUCGUGGGGGAUAACGCAGCGAAAGUUGCGCUAAUACCGCAUACGCCCUGAGGGGGAAAGCGGGGGUACCGUAAGGCCUCGCGCGAUUAGAGCGGCCGAUGUCUGAUUAGCUUGUUGGUGAGGUAAAGGCUCACCAAGGCGACGAUCUUUAGCUGGUCUGAGAGGAUGAUCAGCCACACUGGGACUGAGACACGGCCCAGACUCCUACGGGGAGGCAGCAGUGGGGGAAUAUUGCACAAUGGGCGCAAGCCUGAUGCAGCGACGCC